rnacentral:tRNA from 1 species
UCACAGCUCAGUUGGUAAAUCAUCUGCCUACAAUGCAGGAGACCCAGGUUCAAUUCCUGGGUUGGGAU